rnacentral:rRNA from 1 species
GACGAACCGUGCGAACGUUAUUCGGAAUCACUGGGCUUAAAGGGUGCGUAGGCGGGUUGCCAAGUCUGUGGUGAAAUCCUUCAGCUUAACUGGAGAACUGCCGUGGAUACUGGCGACCUCGAGGGGUGUAGGGGCUUGCGGAACUGUGCGUGGAGCGGUGAAAUGCGUUGAUAUGCACAGGAACUCCGGUGGCGAAAGCGGCGAGCUGGACACCUUCUGACGCUGAGGCACGAAAGCUAGGGGAGCGAACGGG